AGCACGGAGUACAUGGCGUUCGGAUCCAGGCCGGAGACGCUGGCCCUGAGAACGGGAAACAUCCUCCUGGAAAACACGGGAUGGGGAUGGAUCAUCUGAGCCGGGCCCCGCCGUCUGCUUGGGGUUUUCUCGCCACCGUUUCUGCUUGAGCUGCUGGGAAGGUUGAAUGGACUGAGAAGGGGUGGAUCAAAAGAAGAGGGGCCAGUUUUCACUGACAAACAGUGAGUGUUAAGGACAGAGGAUUAAUGAUAGGUGCAAGUCAGGAACAUUAUUUACCCAGAGUCAGAGGACGUGGGACUUCAGAGCUCAUCACCUUCUUUCUUCUUUCACUUCCUCUCUCUAUAAAUGCACAAUUAAAAUGAGAUGUUCACACA